AGAGGUGGCAGGUAGCCUAGUGGUUAGAGUGUAGAGGAGGUAGGUAGUCUAGUGGUUAGAGUGCAGAGGAGGCAGGUAGCCUAGUGGUUAGAGUGUAGAGGAGGCAGGUAGCCUAGUGGUUAGAGUGUAGAGGAGGUAGGUAGUCUAGUGGUUAGAGUGUAGAGGAGGUAGGUAGUCUAGUGGUUAGAGUGUAGAGGAGGCAGGUAGCCUAGUGGUUAGAGUGUAGAGGAGGCAGGUAGCCUAGUGGUUAGAGUGUAGAGGAGGCAGGUAGCCUAGUGGUUAGAGUGUAGAGGAGGCAGGUAGCCUAGUGGUUAGAGUGUAGAGGAGGCAGGUAGCCUAGUGGUUAGAGUGUAGAGGAGGCAGGUAGACUAGUGGUUAGAGUGUAGAGGAGGCAGGUAGCCUAGUGGUUAGAGUGUAGAGGAGGCAGGUAGUCUAGUGGUUAGAGUGUAGAGGAGGCAGGUAGCCUAGUGGUUAGAGUGUAGAGGAGGCAGGUAGUCUAGUGGUUAGAGUGUAGAGGAGGUAGGUAGACUAGUGGUUAGAGUGUAGAGGAGGCAGGUAGCCUAGUGGUUAGAGUGUAGAGGAGGCAGGUAGUCUAGUGGUUAGAGUGUAGAGGAGGCAGGUAGCCUAGUGGUUAGAGUGUAGAGGAGGCAGGUAGCCUAGUGGUUAGAGUGUAGAGGAGGCAGGUAGACUAGUGGUUAGAGUGUAGAGGAGGCAGGUAGACUAGUGGUUAGAGUGUAGAGGAGGCAGGUAGCCUAGUGGUUAGAGUGUAGAGGAGGCAGGUAGACUAGUGGUUAGAGUGUAGAGGAGGCAGGUAGACUAGUGGUUAGAGUGUAGAGGAGGCAGGUAGACUAGUGGUUAGAGUGUAGAGGAGGCAGGUAGCCUAGUGGUUAGAGUGUAGAGGAGGCAGGUAGUCUAGUGGUUAGAGUGUAGAGGAGGCAGGUAGUCUAGUGGUUAGAGUGUAGAGGAGGCAGGUAGACUAGUGGUUAGAGUGUAGAGGAGGCAGGUAGACUAGUGGUUAGAGUGUAGAGGAGGCAGGUAGACUAGUGGUUAGAGUGUAGAGGAGGCAGGUAGCCUAGUGGUUAGAGUGUAGAGGAGGCAGGUAGUCUAGUGGUUAGAGUGUAGAGGAGGCAGGUAGUCUAGUGGUUAGAGUGUAGAGGAGGCAGGUAGCCUAGUGGUUAGAAUGUAGAGGAGGCAGGUAGAUACAGAACAACAAGACUGAACGACUGGGUCACGUCCACAGAUACAGAACAACAAGACUGAACGACUGGGUCACGUCCCUAGAUACAGAACAAAAAGACUGAACGACUGGGUCACGUCCCUAGAUACAGAACAACAAGACUGAACGACUGGGUCACGUCCCUAGAUACAGAACAACAAGACUGAACGACUGGGUCACGUCCCUAGAUACAGAACAACAAGACUGAACGACUGGGUCGCGUCUCUGGCAACUGAACCAAUAGAACGACCGACCAGCCGGCUUGGGGAGCAACCCUAGAUUUGUAGACUACAUCCAGUUUGCUGAGUGUUGGGGGCUAUUUUGUAAAUAACAUCGCCAAAGUCGAGGAUCGGUAGGAUAGUCCGUUUUACGAGGGUAUGUUUGGCAGCAUGAGUGAAGGAGGCUUUGUUUGCAAAAUAGGAAGCCGAUUCUAGAUUUAAUUUUGGAUUGCAGAUGCUUAAUGUGAGUCUGGAAGGAGAGUUUACAGUCUAACCAGACACCCAGGUAUUUGUAGUUGUCCACAUAUUCUAGGUCAGAACCGUCCAGAGUAGUGAUGCUGGACGGGCGGGC